rnacentral:rRNA from 1 species
UAGGGAAUCUUCCACAAUGGACGAAAGUCUGAUGGAGCAACGCCGCGUGAGUGAAGAAGGGUUUCGGCUCGUAAAACUCUGUUGUUAAAGAAGAACAUAUCUGAGAGUAACUGUUCAGGUAUUGACGGUAUUUAACCAGAAAGCCACGGCUAACUACGUACACG